CCUCUGACGUUAGCGGCGGACGGGUGAGUAACACGUGGGUAACCUACCUAUAAGACUGGGAUAACUCCGGGAAACCGGGGCUAAUACCGGAUAACACAUGAAACCGCAUGGUUUCAUGAUGAAAGACGGUUUUGCUGUCACUUAUAGAUGGACCCGCGGCGUAUUAGCUAGUUGGUAAGGUAACGGCUUACCAAGGCAACGAUACGUAGCCGACCUGAGAGGGUGAUCGGCCACACUGGAACUGAGCACGGUCCAGACUCCUACGGGAGGCAGCAGGU
rnacentral:rRNA from 1 species